rnacentral:lncRNA from 1 species
CCGAGCUAAGUAACGAGAGCUUGUAACUCAAGUGGGGGCAUUAAGGUGAUGGAACUUUGGCCCAGAAUUAACGGGUUGGGUCUGGUAUGGCUCUUUACUAGCCUGCCCAUUCCAAGCAAAGAGUUGUUCCAUGUGAUCUGAGCGAAAGCUCUGGGCCACAUGGCUCCUAAAGAGGAGGGCACCGCGUGAGGCUGGGUUCACAGAGCAGCGCCUACCUCCCGCUCUUUGCAGUGGAAGGAUAACGGGCUGGUGCCACCUUGAUCCAUCGUGGCCCGGUAGACUGGUCCACAUGAACCUAAUCCUUCGUUUUUGGUUUUAUUUCUCUCUCACUCUUUUGUCAUCACAUCACUUCUUCUUGUCUUCGUGAACUCUAAAAAAUUCAGUAAGUUCGUUUGUUUGUUUUAAAUUAAUUUUCUGUAGAUUUUGGUAAUGUAUUAUGGAGAUUCUCUUACAAGAGGGCUUAAAUAAACAUUGCUUUGAAAUCCUCUAUCAAUUGUAAUGAAGCUUUCUGUUUUCCUUUUUUCUUUAGAGUACAAUUAAUUUUUUCCUCCUCAUCAUAUAUUCACAGUUAGGUAAGAAUGAUUCCUGUUAGAAUUGGUUACUGAAAAUUACGAAAAGACUAGGUGAAAUUCCCGUCUUCCUCAAUGUGGGGGUCUUUUUCUUCCGGCAGCUGCAAAUAGGCUGGGCUGCCGUAAAGGGGAAAUUACUGGAAUUGCCCCCUGUGCCUGAGUUCGAAAAUUAAGCCCCAAAAGCACUUCGAAAGGGCAGUAAAGCCUUAGGAAGUGUUCUGGUUACCUUUACCAACGAAAAUGAUGGCUGCUUACAGGUGAUUUAUGCUUGCUUACAGAUAAAGUUUUAGCUUAGCAUGAGGAGAUUGUGGCAUGGGAGCAAGGUCAGCAUAAGUUGAGCACCAAAGAGGAAAAUAAGGCUUCCUAGGGAGAAAUGGGAGUGUUUAAGAUGAGGGAGACAAGGUUUGCAGGAUGAUCUUGGCUAAAAAGGGGUAAAGGAAGGGCAUUACUUCUUCCGGCAGCUUGACAGACUCUGAAAAUAGUCUGUUAACAGAGAAGAACAAAGAAGAAGAGUGAAUAGGGCUACUGGAUUUUUUACAAGUAAGAGAGGAAGCUUGCUCUCUCAGCCUGGGUUGGUUUUUGCUAGGUGGAAGGGACCUCCUUUUAUAGCUGAGGGAAACCUUCAUUCCCCAAGAAAACCUAAUGGUUUCUUCCCCAACUUAGCAAGUUUUUUCCUUCCCUUUUCCUGUCUUAUCUUGACUUUUCCCUAUUUUGGUAAGACUUCCCAGAUCAAUUUGCACAAAAUUAGGAAUUUUGGAGCUCAAGGCCCCCUUUCCCGCGGCUGCUCCAGUGGAGGUUUUCCACUUCCAGCCAUUUUAUUUUCCUUUCUUUCUCACUCCUUCCUAUGACCAGUUUUGAUAGGGAAGGAGUUGGGAUGUGUAUGUUGGUUUGAAGAGUGUCUCUCUUCCUGGCAGCUUGCAUGUUAACAUCCAUUGGUUUCUCUGGUGUUUUGUUUUGGAACUUGAUCUCUUCCAAUGUGUUGUCACUUCCCAGCAGCUCUGUUCAAUGAUUCUGCAGACCUCUACGUGGCUUCUAUUUUUUCCAGCAAAGGGCUGAGAUUUUUAUGGCUUAUUUUUGGGGUUUUUGUAUGGGCUAAAGUGGUUUCUUAAGCAAGUGGGCUAUUUAAACAUUGGGCUUUUGGUUGGGCUAUCCUUUGACUGGGCUAAUUUUGGUUGGGUUAUUUUGGUUGAGUUAUUUUGGUUGGGUUAUUUUCUCUUUUGUGCUCACCCACAUGUUUGGGCCUAAGAAAUGGGCUUGGGUUCCGAGGCUCCCAAGCAACCCGGAACCUCCAUUUCUUGACCCAUCAAUGGGCCUCAUGAUGACCUAUUACCAUCCAUACCACAACCCACUCAAACAAGCCCCGGGCAUCUUGCGUGGCUUGGGCCCACUUAAGCUUGUAGCAUGGCAUGUUGUUUAUUUGCUUGGCGUGGCAUGUGUAUAAGCGCAUAUGGCAAACUUUCGCGUGCCCCAAAUUGGGUUUCUUCUCGGUAAGAUAUCGCAUUGGGCUGAGAAUUUAUUUGGGCCGAAGCGUGGAUUUUUUUUGGGCCUCAACAUUAGCCCCCUUGAUUAUUGGGGCCAUGAAUGUGUGUUGAAAUGGUCCAAAUAAUCAAUUUCCAGCCCAAAAUAAAUUGCAGUGGCAUGGCAUGGGUUCAGGAGCAACUCAAGGAUGACCAGUUAAAUGUCUCUGAAAUUACAGCCAGGUCUUUUCCGGGAAUGUUGGAGGGGUCGCAAUGGUCCCGCUUAAAACCCAAUCCUUCUUAAACACCGAGGGUGUUGCCUUGAAGAAUUUUCCUAGACACUGUAAUUUUGGAGGUCACUUACUAGAGUUACCAAGAGUUGGCCUAUUUUGUGGCAUGAUAUAGAAGAAAAUGCUUGGUGGAUUAGCUCAAAAUAACUUAGCUUGCAUGAUUUAUUUGCUUGAGUGACUAGAGAGACUUGAUUUUGCAUGGUUGUGAUUUGCAAGAGUUGCAUUGAUUUGCACGCUUGAUGUUGGCAUGUAUUCUUGGUAUCUGGCUUGAUGCUUGGCAUUGGCAUGUAUGCUUGAUUUGUGCAUGUAUGCUUGGUACUGCUUGGCUUUGGCUUGUAUUGAGUUUACAGCACCAGCCCCAGAACACUUGAAUUUGGCAGACAAAACCUUAGUGAACGUGAUAGUGUGCGACAUGAUGGCUAGAUAUUGGAAGAAUGCUUGAAGUAGGGCAUGUGCUGGGAGGGCAUUUGGAAUAGGGCAUGUGCUGGAAGGAUAUUUGAAACAGGGCAGGUGCUAAAAAAAAAUGCUUUAAAUAGGGCACGUGCUGGAAGGAUGUUUGAAGUAAGGCAUGUGCUGGAAGGAUGUUUGAAGUAAGGCAUGUGCUGAAAAAUAUUUUGUUUGAAAUGGGACAUGGCAUGUGCCUGAAGCACGUGACUUGGCUUGACAUGAUUUAUCUUCUGGUUUUCCCUCAUUCUCUUCUUUCUUCUUCUUCUCCAAGACCCAAACCCGUGGGUAUUGUGCAUCAGUACAUAAGUCAUAUUUUGGAAGCUCGGAUCAGAAAACUUCCUUGAUGAAAGUUGCUCAUCUGCUCGAGUACUAUAGCCUGUAAAAUUUUCUGAUUUCUUUGAAUUUUUCUGAUGCCUCAAAGCUGGUCUGCAACUUCUGUGUUCAUCCAUGGCUGGUGAGGUUCUGCAGAUUCUGCUUCUGCAUGUGUCUUUAACUUAAGAUGCUUGGAUGAUUGCACUUGCUUCACAAAAUUUGCUCGAAAUUAUGUUGUUUAUAACAUAUCCAAAAUUGAGAAUCAUCCACCCAUCCUAGUGCUUUCUGCCUCCAUUUUUCUGAAGCAUGUUCAUGAGUUGAUGUUGAUGCCUUUGUUGCAUGCUUGUUUUCUAUGCUUGAAUGCUUGAGUUCCUCUGUACUUCCCAACAUUUGUGGACUAGAAAUCAAAUUCUGAUGUUGAACUUCUGGUUUAGGAUUCUGGCUUGGUGAUAAACAAGAGUCAUACGAGUUCACUUGGGUAUGCAUGCCAAGUGUUUGUCAAAAUAUCUCAAAGUAGCUUGCUGAUUGUUUUUUGAACUUUUGAAAUGUUUCUUUUCGAAUCUGAGUUGGAUCUUUAUAAAAAAUGGACUUCUCAAUGGCUAUGUUGGAAUUGGUCAUGCGUCACUUGAAGAAAAAAUGAAUUUUUGGUGGAAUUUCAAAGUAAGGGCUAAGCUACUGGAGCUGUGCAGUUCCUGUGGCAUGGGCUGUUUUAGGAAUCUGUUUGACAUGCUUCCCUAGCUCGAAAUGCAACGAAAUUUUGGGCAAAUGAAUCUUGAUAUGUCUAGUUCUAAUCUGGAAAGUCUGGGAUUUUUUGGUUGUAAGCUUGAUUUAUAGUGAUUUUCUAAAGGUGGGAUGUUCUAGCUGGAAUGGUUGGAAAGUUUGUGUAUAAGUUUUGCUUGGCAUGUUGCUUUUUCUUGGGAAUUUAGCAUGUCCUUUCUGUUGGCAUUGAGUGCCGAUCUGAGUAUUGCUAGAGCAUGUUCUUGAGCAAUAUUUUUGUGAGAGCAUGAUAUUGAAAGGUAUUGUCGUAAGAGCAUGAGUUCUUCAAUUUGCUUGAAAUGCUCGAAUUGCUUGGAAUGCUUGAAUGAAAUGAAAUUUCUUGGCAUGUGGAUUGGUAUCAUGCCCUGUGAAUUUUGUCAAAUGCUUGAUAGAUGAGUUUGCUUGCACUUUGAGAAAAUUAUGCUUCCAGCGCCUUCCUUUGCAUAUGAGUACCUUUCCGGCGUCUGAUUUUGGCUAACAUAUUCUCUUGUUUAGAAUCUCCAAAGCAUGAGAAAGCAUGAGAGGUCUAAUUUUCUAGGAUUUCGAUGGCAUGAAAGUGGGCUUUGGUCUCUUGCAACUUGUCUUUGGAAAAAAUUAUGCUUCAAUAGCGAUUAUGCUUCCGGCAUCCCCUUUUAUCAUGUGGUGGCCCUUUUUGAGCUGGUGAAAAGGCUGAACUUUGCAUGAUGCAUUUUUUUUUCUAUGCAGGUGUAUACGUCUUUGGCACAGGCAGGGGAAGGUGUCGGAAGCCUGCGUUGUAUCCCUUGCCGUUGGAAGCUUCGAGUGUACCGACUUCGCAACUUGGCAAUUUGGAUUUCUAUCUUGAUUUCUCAAUAAAUAGUUCUGCUCCUUCACUAGAAUCGUGAGUCUUUCUUUCGGCUUUGUAGGAAUAGACAUAGACUGGUGUUUGGCCUAGGCUUGUUUUUCUUGUGAACACACGCUUGAUUAAAUCUGGACUUUUCUCCGAUCUUGUGGAAAUAGAAAUUGACAGAAUGCAUGCUCUGCAAUGCUUGAAUCUUUUUGUAUUUUGAGGGAGAAUUUGCUUGUCAUGGGAAUUGCUUGAGAAUUUUGCUUGCCAUGGAUAAAUUGCAUGCUGCUUUGAUAUUUGCUUAAGCCUUUUCUUUGGCAUGAGCUUGACUUGCAUGCUUGGCGUAUACUUUGCAUGUGCUACGUUCUUGACCACCUUCUUUGAUUGAACUAUAUGCAUCAUGAGCAUAUGCUUGUAACUGUAUGAUUAAUACAUAGGGUUAGAGGCUGUUGAAAGUUGGAGGAGAGCACCAUUUGUUUCCUCUUUUGAGCUUAGAGUUUGGACAUGGCUAACCUUUUUUUCUUGGCUUUAUAGGGAUAGAUAUAAACAUGUAUAUGAUGGGUCUGCAAGAUUGUCAUGUAACUCAUAGGGAUUUUUUUGUUUUUGUGAAAAAGGUUACUAGGAGGUAAGUGGUGUUCAGUUUGUAACACUUGCUUUGUGAAAAGGGUCUGCUGGAAUGAUUGAUUGAGCAUGAAAUGGGAACUUUGCUUGUCAUAAGCUCGAGUAAUAGAUUGCAUGAUGCUUCAAAUUUUUUUUUUUUUGUUUAUGCAUUUCGCUUGGCAUGAGAUGGCUUGCUUUGCUUGGCCUGUGAAGUUCAUAUAGCUUGCAUGCUAGCAUGGAGAUUUCUUGGCUUUAACACAGAGAACCUGCUUCAUACUUUGCCCUUUUACAGCAUAUUCCUCGUUGGUAAUUCUUGCAGGGACUCACAUAAUAAGUCCCAAUGACCUUUGUGAUGAGUGAUAGCCUAUUUCCUCUUGCACGACGGGUUGAAGAAUGGACAACUACCUUCAUAGCUUAGAAACACUUACCAAGACUCGAUCAUAGGCACUGAGUAAGCUUAGGAAGCUACUCUCAUUUCCAGGUGUUGUAUAGAAGAAAGACAUGUUUCAGGCGGCCACCUUAUUUUUUAAUACCCUUGCAGCAUCACUAAGGGCUGGCCACAGUGGUUCGAUCGCGAGUUGACAGCCCCGACUACCAAAGAUGUUUUGUCAAGGAAACAUCGUUUUUGACCUUACAGCAGCGUGCUGAAAGGGCUUAAGCGUGUGUCUUAUUAGGAUUUUGCAUGGACUUCCGGCUGAAUACUUAGAAGAAGCACACAUUAUUAUUAUUAUUAUUAUUUUUUAAGCACGAGCUGCUUGUAGCAUGAAGAUGUAUGCAUGAUCCCCUUAAGCAAGAGUUGUCGUUAAUGCGUUAAGCCUUCAGGAACAUGAAUUGGAGAGCCAGUGCCGUAAGCUAUGAGACCUUCUCCUUGACAAAUAAGCGAUUGAGAAUGGCGCUCGGUGCAUGGUGGAAACAUCGAAAGGAUCAUCUAAUAGUGCUUCUUCUAUUCUGUUUUAGUCAUGCACCGUGAUCUAGUUGAGAUAUCCGAUUCUCCUUCUUCGCACCGUAAUAUAUAUGUAUAUAUAUUCUUUUAAUAGAAAGGGCAUAUCUUCCAGCACCAUCUUUCUCUACCACUUAUUCUUAUUUCAUUUUGCAUGCUGCAUUUCUUUGUUGUAGGGGCUAGCUGGCUCAGUGUGUAGUAGCUUUUCCUUUUGAAACUGUAGGGUGUAUCGAUCUUUAGCAUAGUUGACUGCAUUUGGGCUCGAGUUGUACCCCUUUUGUUUGGAGAGCCUAAAGCUCAUGUUGUUGGAAACUUGGAACACAACAUUGUUGCAUACUUUAUAUCAUAACUCUUGAUGUAGAAUGCUUGAGAUAUUGAGCUUCGGCCUAUUUUGUACGCUUUGCUCGGUUGGAAACAAUGAAAUGCAUGAAUUGUUGCAAUUUGGAAUGCAUUGAGAUAAAGAUUUCCAGCUUGUUCUGUACACUCUGCCUGGCUGAAAUACAUGAGUUGCUUGAGAUUUCAUCAGGUCAGGUUGUGGUAGGUGCAAGGUACAUGCUGCCAAUAUUUCUUUUUUUCAGGUUGAGAGCAUCUCACAAGUCGCGGAGGAUACACUUCCUACUCCUCCUCUUGGGACGUCUGGCGUAGCUGCCUACACUGCCAUGCGCCUUCCAGCAGCGCAGCCUCCUGCUCAUCCUUUCCUAAACACAUCUGACACAACUGCUGGCACCUCUCCACAGCUUCCAGCAGUGCUGCCUCCUUUCCUAAGCACAUCCGACACAACUGUCGGCACCUCUCCACAGCUUCCAGCAGUGCUGCCUCCUUUCCUAAGCACAUCCGACAUAACUUCCGGCACCUCUCCACAGCUUCCAGCAGUGCUGCCUCGUGGUGAGAUUAUUGAUGACAGCCAUAAGGAGGAUGAUGUUUCCAUUUCCAUGGGGCAUUUAUCGGAGGAAAGCAUGUCUUGGCAAGAUUGGGAGAAUUCCUUCAUGGCGUUCAAAGCCUUUUUUAAUGGUGGUGCUAAGAUAUGUGAGGCCAUAACUCUGGGCUUUCAUGUGGACUUCCCCAUCAAUCUCGUGAGGAACCUAGCAUGUGCUGUCUUUGGAGUGCGGGCCAUUCAUAGCAUGAAAUUAUCACAUGGUUCUAGUGAGGUGAAAGCUGCUGCCGACACUUUGAACAUUAAGCAACAGGAAUUGGAUAGCCAGCGCAGGGAAGUGCAUGCCUUUUUCCUUGCUAAGUGCGUGACGGAGACAACAACCAGAUCAUCUCCUAGGGCUUCUUUCGUUCUUUUUGGGCAUUCUUCAUAGCUUCAAGGUAUAUAAUUCCUCUUUUUUUUAUUUUUUUUAUUUUAUCGGGUUACUCCUUCCAGCAUCACUUGAUCUUGACACACGUCUUCUUCUUGCAGGUCGUCUCCUCUUGGCUUGGUGACUGAUUAUCUUGGCGCGUGGUUCUGUUCCCUUGAAGACCAUAGGCUGCAUGGGUCUUUAGCAUGUGUAGUUUUAUCUUGCUUUGACUAUAGUUUUUUUUUUCGUUUUCUUUUGGACACUCUAACGACCCUGUCGUUAUGAAUUCGUAAUGUAGUGUUGAAUCACUGGAGCUUGUAUUAACUUCCGAAUGCUUGAGGCAUGUUGUAAUUUGCAUGUCUUAUAUAUAAAUAUUGCUUGGUUGGCAAAAUUUAUUUUUAUGAGCUGCUGGAGAUUUUCUGACAGGUUAGAUAUCCUUAAAAACAAGGUAUAUGCCGCCAAAAUUUUGUCUGACCACUAGGCCUGAAAAACACCCUCUUGUCAUACCCAAAAAGGGUCAGACUAGUAUAUGCAUGGUCUUUGUAAAAUUCCCAGAUAUUUUGCAUAUUCUGGUUGCUCAUCAAAAGGGGACAAUGGUUUCGUUGUUCCAGCAGCUCAAGAAUGCAUGCCCCAUAUUAUUUUGCUUUGGCGUGGUGCUUGUUGAUGGCCUCGGACCCCAUCCAAGUGACUUUGCUUGGCAUGGUUACUGCUGAGGGGCUUAGCUUUUUUAAAGAAAAGUUUGCUUGUCUAUUUUUUUUUUAAAGAACAUGUUUUGCAAAACAAAAGAAGGUAAAAGCAUGGAAAGAAUUCUAUAGGCUUUUUUCAUUUUCCAAACUACUCCAAAUAUCAUCUUACCCCUUGGCAUGCCAUAACAGUGGUGCAUUCUUCAAAAGUCGUGAAAGCAUAUGAUGAAAACACAAAAGGAGUUCAUCUUUGAAAUAAAUUUGAAAAGCCAAAAGCAAAAGGAUAGGUGUAAAAGCAACUCAGCAGUCGUAAGGCUUUGAGCCAUUUUGCAUUGAUAAAUACUCCCAUCAAAUUAAGCCCCCAAGUAUGAAAGGGCCAAGGAGUGUGCAUGUCUUGUAAUAGCAUGAAAGCUUGUGGCUUAGAUUGGCAUGUACUUGGCAUGUGUUGUAGUAGGCUGCCAUGCCGUGCAGAGAUAUUUAACAGAGCCACAGCUGCUGCUUUACAUCAUACAGAUCAUAAUCCAACUAAUCAAAGAGUGAUUUGCAGCUCAUAACCCAUUGUACUUUCUUCAACUUUUGUGAGGUUAUGAGAGGUUACGGCAGCUGUCUCUUGAUAAUCUUGCUAACCAAAUGAAGCCCCCAAGUGGCGUUCUUCCGGCAUGUCCAAUGUGAAUACUUCGCUGCUGGAAACAUUCUCCCAUCCAUCAGUAAGUGGCCAUGGGGUGCUAUAACUUGAAGAUUUUGAAUAUUUACACCAGUAAGCUUUCUCCAAUGUUUCCACAAGGCUCCCAAAUAGCCUUCGAUGGCUUUGGGUCAUUGCAUGGCGUGAUGAACUUAGGAUAUCCCUCUAUUGCAAUGUUGACAAUUUAGCAUGAUAGCAUGGCUUCUUCUCUGCGCUUCCGGCAGCUAGAAAUACCAAGUUCUCAUUUUUAUGUUGAUUGUGCUGCUUGAAAAGCUUGAUCUUGUGAUAUCUAGUUUUGCUUGAAAUGAUUGCAUCAAGUGAAAUGUUUGCAUGAUUUUGGAGAUGGAUUUUUUCUUCUUGGCAUGAUUCCUCUUUAGACCAUCUCCUAUGGCACAAUUUUGUUGUUGGCAUGGCUUGGCGCCACUGAGCGUGUUGAGAUGCUGAUCGGUGCAGGAACAUAGGGUCCCAUGCUCCUUGAGGCUUGUGGUGUAGAGAAGUGUACUCAUCGUCUUUAAAAGGACAAAGUGCUUGACAGAUAUAUAAUUUUUGCAUGACCAAAGCAGAUGGUGGUUAAAAUAAUACAUGUGUUGCAGCUUGUAAAUGAAUAUAAUUGAUAUUUGUCGAUUUCAAAUGAAUGUCAUCCAACAUCAUUAACUAACGAAUGAAUCACACAUCAAUAUUAAACCAACAUAGGUUGCUUUCAGUAAUAUGCAAGCAUGUGAUGCUUUGGAAAUUAUUAAAGCACGUGAUGAUACUCGUGCUUUGAGUAGUGUGUAAAUGCCUAGUGUUUGUAUUCCUUUCAAAGUGAAAGACAAGAAAUAAAGGAAGCUGAAUAGCCCAACUUCACUCUGUUGGUAUUGGCCUAAAACAUGAUUUAUAUAUAUAUAAGAAAAAAAAAAUUAUCAUUACAUGUUUAUAUUUGAAUAGAUGACAUGCUUGUGCUGCUUUUACAAGUAUGGCAUAUGGCAUGAUAAUAUAUAUUUUAUUGUGAAAUCUUAAAAAGGUAGGAAAGAAAAAGAAAGAUCUUCUUAUCUUUGGCCUCCAAUAGAGAGCAUGUGGAGUGUGGAACCGAGAUUGGCAUAGAAAGUCAGGGCAUUCUGUGGGCAGUGCUAAAGAUGAAGGUGAUGCAAGCAGCGUUCCGAAGAGGACUUGUUCAAUCUUGAGUUGCAUGGAUAAAUUGAGCUUUGGGGGUUAAGGAGCAUAUAUACUAGCAUGAUGUUUGAAAUAGGGCAGGGGUUAAGAAGAUUUGAAAUGAGGUAAGUGCCAUAAAUUCUUUGCUCGUAGAGUAAGGGCUGGAAGAAUGUAACUUGGCUUGGAAUGAUAUAGUUGGACUUGCUGAUGUGAAUAAUGUUCACACAACUCUUGGAACCAAGGCAUAGCUUAGUUUAGCAUGAGAAACUUUGAAGUGCUUGUGCUUGACUUUUUUUUUUUAAUUGGCAGGAAGCCCCCAAGUCAUUUGGAAUUGAAUUUUGACUCCUCUUUUUUUUUUUUUACAGAUUUGCUUGGCACGAAACCCCCAAGUAUUUUGGAGUUUGCAUGUGUAGUUCGCUCAAAGGCAUGAAUGAUGAAUUUGCCAAAGCCCCCAGCCCUCUUACAAGAUCUUGUUUUACUUAAGAAUGGAGAUCUAAGGCAUAAACAAAGGGAGCAUGUGAGCAAUCGAUAUCAUGUUUGUUCUGCAAAGCAGAUAGCCAAAAAAAGAAAAGGAAAGAAGGAAUGCUCUUAUCUCUUUAUUUUCUUUGGUUUAUUGUUUCUAGCAGCAGCUCUUCCAACGAUGGUGUUUGAAUGACAAGCUUGGCUCUGUCCUUCUUCCUUGGAGGCAUUGAUGAAGAUAAUGGCUUAAUCCCCAGCAGAGUCGCCAAUUUAUGUGGGGGUCUUUUUCUUCCGGCAGCUGCAAAUAGGCUGGGCUGCCGUAAAGGGGAAAUUACUGGAAUUGCCCCCUGUGCCUGAGUUCGAAAAUUAAGCCCCAAAAGCACUUCGAAAGGGCAGUAAAGCCUUAGGAAGUGUUCUGGUUACCUUUACCAACGAAAAUGAUGGCUGCUUACAGGUGAUUUAUGCUUGCUUACAGAUAAAGUUUUAGCUUAGCAUGAGGAGAUUGUGGCAUGGGAGCAAGGUCAGCAUAAGUUGAGCACCAAAGAGGAAAAUAAGGCUUCCUAGGGAGAAAUGGGAGUGUUUAAGAUGAGGGAGACAAGGUUUGCAGGAUGAUCUUGGCUAAAAAGGGGUAAAGGAAGGGCAUUACUUCUUCCGGCAGCUUGACAGACUCUGAAAAUAGUCUGUUAACAGAGAAGAACGAAGAAGAAGAGUGAAUAGGGCUACUGGAUUUUUUCCAAGUAAGAGAGGAAGCUUGCUCUCUCAGCCUGGGUUGGUUUUUGCUAGGUGGAAGGGACCUCCUUUUAUAGCUGAGGGAAACCUUCAUUCCCCAAGAAAACCUAAUGGUUUCUUCCCCAACUUAGCAAGUUUUUUCCUUCCCUUUUCCUGUCUUAUCUUGACUUUUCCCUAUUUUGGUAAGACUUCCCAGAUCAAUUUGCACAAAAUUAGGAAUUUUGGAGCUCAAGGCCCCCUUUCCCGCGGCUGCUCCAGUGGAGGUUUUCCACUUCCAGCCAUUUUAUUUUCCUUUCUUUCUCACUCCUUCCUAUGACCAGUUUUGAUAGGGAAGGAGUUGGGAUGUGUAUGUUGGUUUGAAGAGUGUCUCUCUUCCUGGCAGCUUGCAUGUUAACAUCCAUUGGUUUCUCUGGUGUUUUGUUUUGGAACUUGAUCUCUUCCAAUGUGUUGUCACUUCCCAGCAGCUCUAUUCAAUGAUUCUGCAGACCUCUACGUGGCUUCUAUUUUUUCCAGCAAAGGGCUGAGAUUUUUAUGGCUUAUUUUUGGGGUUUUUGUAUGGGCUAAAGUGGUUUCUUAAGCAAGUGGGCUAUUUAAACAUUAGGCUUUUGGUUGGGCUAUCCUUUGACUGGGCUAAUUUUGGUUGGGUUAUUUUGGUUGAGUUAUUUUGGUUGGGUUAUUUUCUCUUUUGUGCUCACCCACAUGUUUGGGCCUAAGAAAUGGGCUUGGGUUCCGAGGCUCCCAAGCAACCCGGAACCUCCAUUUCUUGACCCAUCAAUGGGCCUCAUGACGACCUAUUACCAUCCAUACCACAACCCACUCAAGCAAGCCCCGGGCAUCUUGCGUGGCUUGGGCCCACUUAAGCUUGUAGCAUGGCAUGUUGUUUAUUUGCUUGGCGUGGCAUGUGUAUAAGCGCAUAUGGCAAACUUUCGCGUGCCCCAAAUUGGGUUUCUUCUCGGUAAGAUAUCGCAUUGGGCUGAGAAUUUAUUUGGGCCGAAGCGUGGAUUUUUUUUGGGCCUCAACACUCAACAAUUGAAGACAACGACAACGAGUCGUUGUUGUUGUGCAGUCCUCCAGAACAACCCGUGAGGUCCUCGGCUAUCGUUUUUGUCGAGACGAUUUAUUGAGAUCGAGGCUACUUUGAUAUCACUAUACAAUUCUACCAUAUUCUCAAUCUAAUACCUUCAUCCACAAAUCUACAAGCAAAAACAAAAAUAUGAAGAAAAAAAUAUAGGAGAAUGGGGUGAUCCAAUUUGGCGAGCUCAGGCUUGGUCCCUUGAAAAAGUGUCAGAGCCAACAGUGGAGAAGAGACAUAGACAUCCGCACAAUGAAAAAGUCCAAAGAGGAAUAUGAUUUCAAAAUAAAAAAUGGAAGAACAAAAACUGAAAGUUGGGGUUGAAGAUGAAGAUUGGAGACUAGAGCUUGUGAAAAUGAGCUCUCCUCUUGCUUCAAUGCCUAAUAAAGGGAUUAGAAUUCCAAUUUUGUGUUAAAAGGGCAAUAAAGGUAUUUUAUUUUAUUAAUUAAAUUAAUAAAUGUACAGCUGUCAAUUUUCGAUUUUUGAAUUUUUUUGGGGCUUGUUUAUAGAAAUUAAAUGGUAUAGGAUUUCUUUAUAGCAUUAUGUCUAGUAAUGAGUAUCUAACUAAAUUUGUAAUUUAUAUUAACUAGAUUUGUAAUUUCUCUAUUUCAUAAAGCCUUCAAAAGUUUCGAAUGAUCAUUUUCCAUAGAUUUUUCAAAUAUUAAAAAUACUAAUACAUUUGUUGAUUCGAGAGAAUACUUGCCAUCCUAAAUGAAUAGAUACAUGGUAAAUUAUAAUUACGAUAAGAUUAGCAGCUAAUGUGUGCGAAAGUGAUAUUGAAAUCAACAUGCAGAGUUAAAUCUUUCGUUCUCUUAUUUUUAUGUUCAUUACUUGGAUGGCAUGUUUACUAAUCCAAUUAGGAGGAAUUGAAUUGAAUUGAGGAGUUGGAUUGAGGAAAAUUAGAUUCCGGAUUCCUAUUGAGUUUGUUUACUAAACUAUAUGAAUUGAGGAGAGUUAGAUUACGGAUUCCUAUUGAAGUUGUUUACUAAAUCAUAUAGAAUUGGGGUAGGAGUGGUACUAAUUACUAAAGGGUUAUUGACCAAAAUGGUUCCCCAACUAUUGCUCCAGUAUCAUUCUGGUCUAUCAACUAAAUUUUUCAUUUCAAUAGUCUUUCAACUAACAUAGUAACUAAAGUUCCAUUCACAUAUUUUUUUUUUAUAAUUAUAUUGGGUCGGUGUUUUACUGCCAGUCAUAAGUUUUGUGUUGGAUGCAGUACUCAUACUGGAGUUUGCUCCCAAAAAUAUAGCCAUCCCUACCCCCUCACGUCAAUCCCACGAGCCUCGAUGUAUUGUUUCAUUGUGAUAUAAUCUAAAUCGCAAUGUAAUUUUCUUGUUCCUAAAUGGGCUUCAUGAUCAAGAUACGGGUCAAAUAAUAAAUAUUCCUUUUUAGGUGGUCUACGAGCUGCUCUUCAUUUGGUAUCAAGACGGUCUUACCGUGAUAGAUUCUACCACUUCUGAACAUGCGAUGGCCACGUGACUAAGUUUUGAAGGGUAUAUGCAACUUUUUGAGAGGCUCUAUCCUUUAGAAGCAAAAUACCUAAAGUUUGGUGGAUGGUUCAAUUAUUUUAGGCAAUUACCAUGGACUGAAAGGGAUUCUUACAUGAGUCGCUGAAUUGGUCCAUGCUCUAGUAGUGUGCGAAUCACUAAAUUGGUCAAGUUAGUGUGUAAUUUCAGUGUUAAUUUUGGAGUUCAAAUUUGGGAGUUUGUGUUAGGGUUUGAUUUUGGGGAUUUUGAGAAAUUCACUGCUUGCUGAUAAUGGAGUUCGAAUUCCGUUCAGGUGGAGAGGCUCCAAAAUACGGUAAGGGCUUCUGUAAUGCAUUUCAUAUUGUUUUUGUUUGCAAAUAGAUGAGUUGUCCUUGAAUGGAAGUGUGAUUUCUUUAUGUGUGAAAGAUUCAUUUUCCUGUGUUUGUGUUCGGCUUUUUGGUUGUUUUAUGUUUAAAGUAAGGGUAAAGGAAUUGUUUUCUUGUAUAUGGGUUUAGCUUUAUGCUACAUUAACUGCAGAAUAUGUGUUUUUUUUUAAACGUCUGUGGUCCCUUGGUUGUCUGCUUCACACCAAACUCAGUAAUUGUUGUCCUUAACAUUAACAACAAAACUGUGACUUUAAAUUAACAUAUUGUUGUUUCAAUUUUGCAGCUACCAAUGGAAUGUUCACUAUAGAAUUACAUCAUGGGGGCUGGUUUGAAAAUGGGGUUUAUAAAAGGAGUAAGGUAUGUAAUUUGGACAAUAUUGUAGAUGAUUUUCUGUCCUUGUUAGAUUUAAUGAAAAUAGGGAGAGCUCUUAGGUAUGAUGUUGACAUUUCUCAAGUUCAGCAAAGUUUGAAAGUUAGGUAUAGAAAUGUUGAGGGUGAACUGGACUUCUUACAUUUGAUGCUAAAGUGGUUGAAAUUGUUGGUCACAUACCAUCCAAUAAGGUUAUUGUGUUAUACUAUGGUCAGAUUGAAAUUUUUAAUGGAGUUGGGAGUCAAGCAUCUGUUAAGUGGCCUAGUUUGGAAUGGAGAUUAUGACUAUGAUGUAGAUGCAGAGAAUUGUGGUGGGGAUGUGACGUUGCCUUUCAUUGAUGAAUUGGCAGAUAAUGACUUUUCCCAAGUGAAAGAGGUGGGUUAUAAUGAAGACGAGGAGACUUUUGAGAAUGUUGGGACAAAAUUGGAAAAUGAAGAUGCAGGGGCAGAAUUCCCAAAUCAAGAUGUUGGGGCAAAUAUGACAAUUGUUGAUGAAGGGGAAGAAUUGCCAAAUAAAGAUGAGGAUUCAAAAUUUAAAGAUAGUGAUUAUGAGUUCAAUGAAAAUGAGGUAGAGGUCAGGGCAACUGUUCAAGAGAAUAUAGCAGAUGAGGGGACUACUCAUGAGGCUCCAAGAAAGGUGUCAUCACAUGGUGCUAACACAUUAGAAUUUGACACUAGAAGUGAGAAAGAAGAUGAAGGUAAUGGUAGAAAAAAAAAAAACUGCCAAAGUUUAAGCAGUAUAGAAAAGAUGUAGAUUUGAAAAAUCCUGAGUUUAGAUUGGGAAUGAAGUCUGCAAACAAAAAACUACUGAUAGAGGCUAUCAAGGAGUAUGCAAUUAUACAUGGUAGGGAAGUGAAAUUGAUAAAGAAUGACAAGAGACAAGUUCAGGCAAAAUGUGUGGAAGGCUGUUUAUUCCAAGUAUAUGGAUCAAAGAUUGAUAUAGAGGAAGGGACAUUUGCAAUAAAAGAUUUGAGCCUAGAUCCUGAGUGUGGGAGGGUGGACAAGCUUAGGUAUACCACAUCAAACUGGCUUUGUGACAGAUAUGCAAACAAGCUCAAGCGAAACUUAGAGUUUGAUAUGAUAUCAUUUGAAGAAGAUGUGUUGGAAGAUUACAAAAUAAAUGUCACAAAAAUUCAAGUUUAUAGGGCAAAGAAGCUGGCCAAAGAUUUAAUUGAAGGUACUUACAAAGAAUAAUAUGAUGGGUUGUGCGAUUAUACAGAAUAAUUGAAGAAUGCAAACAAGGAUGGUACAAUUGCAAUUAAAACUCGGAUUAUGAGGGAUGAGACAGUGUUUCAGAGGAUUGCAAUUAAAACUCUCUCUUUUUUUCAUGAACCAUUUCUUUCAAUUUCUCUUGUAGUUCUUUCUUUUAUGAUUCCAUAGAUCUCAAAUUUUCCUCCUUUGCUCUACCUUCCGCCUCCAUUGCUCUAAGUCUUCUAAGCAAACCAGGGACCACUUGUUUUCCUCUUGGACAAGUUUCAUCAUCCACCCACUUGAAAAAAUGCAUACCUCUUCUGCUAUUCUGCAAAUAACCAAUUUCAGACCUCACUAAGAAAUUGGAGGGAAUCGUUUCAGCAUGUGGCUUGGUCGUUUUAAAGGAGGGUACUGACCUAAAAAUACUGUUUUGUCCCUCGAUUUCACCUAAUAGUUCACAGACUUUGACGAUAGGACCAUCUUCAUACUAAAUGAAGAGUUGAAAGACUAUUGAAAUGAAAAUUUUAGUGGUAGACCAAAAUGAUACUGGAGCAAUAGUUGAGGGACCAUUUCGGUCGAAAAUCCAAUUACUAAAAUUUCCUCGUUGUUGGGUUACAGUAGAUGAUAAAUUUGGAAUUUUUAAAAUUGUGUGAGGAUAUAAUGGGUAAAAAAGAUGAAUUCCUAAUGGAUUAGUUCUCUAAGAAUUAGAAUACCACCCCCUACCCAAGAAUUGAAUUCCUCCAAAAGCAAGAAUUGAAUUCCUAAGAAAGUUUUUGUAUUGAUAUUUUUAUACCUUCUAGGUUUGAGAGAUCAACAAAGAAAGCGAAAGAAACAGCUAAAUAGGGGAGAUUGAGCUGAAUGACUAAUUCAAAUUAUGUUUCUAAGACCAACAACAUAAGCAUGUGAGCGUCUUUCUUCUCGUACUUCAUGGGAAUGGCCAUGAGGCUGAUCUUCUUGGGGGGCCUUGUCUAGCGUGAACCCUUCGCUGAGGGCCCAUGCAGGUGUGAACAUCGGGUUGUGGGCCUAGCCUCUCGUGUACGUUGAUCCUUAGACUUAAUCUCGAUUGGAGACUCGAUCUACUUUAAGCGAGGCUCGCGGAUGCUUGCGACAUACUGACGUGCUAAGCACACUUUUGUCCUUCUCCUUGUCUACUUGCCCCUGCUCAACCUACAUGAGACCUCUCAAACUGCCUGCGGGUGCUUUUGUCCAUCCUUCUCUAUUCGCCUUGCAGUCUAAGGCCAAAGUCUCGAACCAAGUCAAUCUGGUUGAGGAGCUUUACAACCAAGUUAUUUUGGUUGUCCACUUUUUGAGUCAACUGGUCAAAUCUAAGACUGAGGUCUUGUAACAUCCCACAUUGACCAACAAAGAGGAGGUAAUGUGCAUUAUGUGUACAUGCCCGCCUCCAUCUAGCACCAGGCCUUUUGGGAGCUCACUGGCUUUGGAGUCAUGGGAAUUCCGAAGUUAAGCGAGUUGGGGCUAGAGCAAUCCCAGGAUAGGUGACCCACUGGGAAGUUGCUUGUAAGUUCUCAGAAACAAAAUCGUGAGAGCAGAGAGGGGGCCCAAAGUGGACAAUAUUAUGCUACGGUGGAGCGAUCCCAGGAUGUGAUAGGUUUGCUUGACUUUGUGGAUCAAGAAGAGAGAAUUGCUUGGAGCCCAAUUUCACGCGGGCUAGGGUUUCACUAGAGGUGUACACGGGAGCAUACGUUUAGAAUUACUUAGAAUGUCUUGUGUGGCUAUGUAUUUAUAGCCUCCUUGUGUGCUAGGGUUUUGGGAGAAUAAUCCUUAUUUGGUUAGAAUUAUUCUUCCCUAAAAAGAUGAUAGGAAUUACUCCAAUAGAUUUAGUAGAUAUUGGUUCCUUGAUAUAGGGAGAUAUUCGUAUCUUAAGUCAAAGAUAAUUUUCCUAAUUAAAUAGAAAUUAAUUGGGGUAAUUAGUUUGACCUAAGAAAUAUUCUUUUUCCACGUGUCGUCUUCUUAUUGGCCAGUGAAAUAUAUGAUCCCACAAACUCCAUGAUUAAACCACUCAAGGGGAUAACGUAACAUCCCAUCCCAAAAAUUAAUGUUUAAUUGCUUAUUUAUUGUGAAAUUACAUUUUUGCCCUUGUGUGUACCGGCAUUUUAGUCACUUUUUAUUCAGAAAAGAAUUUGGGGAAUUGAGCGGCACCAUUGCGUAGAUCUUGACGAUACAAGUAAGUAGACAGGCGGCACGCUCAAUUCUGAGUUGUAACAAAUGAGUAAAGGUGUAGAAACAAAAAGAUGUAAUGGGAAUUUUUCAAAUUUAUUGUUGUGCGCUACAAUACCUACUACAGUAACCAGGAUUUCUUUUUAUUUUUAUACUUCUUCUUUCUUUCUCCCUCCCUCGCGAGAUUUUUUCUUCUUCCUCUGUCCAUUCACAACAGUCACUGCAGCAAACAGUGAUUGUUCGACUUCCUGGCCUCCAAUAGAUGACGUCGUGCAACAGUUGGCCGCGCCACCUUCACGAAAAAUGUUCAUCGAGUCCUCCUCUACCAAGCCUAGGGAUAACAUCAACCAUCAAGCAUUUCAGCAAUUUUAACGAAAAAUAGCCUAGGUGGCUUUGUCUUUUUUUCCUAGCGAUUUUUGGGUGUUUUCCAUCGAUUUCGAUGGCCAAAUCCGUCAAGUGAGGUAUGGAAAUUCAUCCCCUCAUCAUGCUCUACUUGUUUAUGUAGUUAUUUUUGGUUAAUUUUGGAGUUUUGGAUAUUGAUUUAAAUACCCAUAUUGGGCCAACGGUUUUGGCCCUUUUUCACCCAUUUUCGGCGGCUUUUUGGCCUAGUCCGAGACCAAAAGUUGCUCCCCUUGUAAAUUUGAAUGCAUUGGUAUAGGUAUUGGCAGGUAGUUUGAAAUCUCUCAAGACACCCACCGCUGCAGGUGGCAGGUGGCUAUGUGUGGGCAACUUGGUGGCAGUUUAUAGAGUUCCAAAAUGCUCCCCAUGUCGCGAGCACGACGGUAUGCUCGGAUUAGCAAUUGGACAUCAUUUGACUAUCGAAUGGAUAUUACACCUAUUAGGUGAUAUCUGGGUUCGAUAGGUUCAGACCCGUCUGAUCAGUCUCAUUUUCAAAUAUGUCAUUCUUCGUAUCUCUACGAUCAUGUAGAAACUGGUUGAUCGAGAAUCUGACUUCCGGAUACUCCGGAUUAAUGAUUUUAGGGUUAAGUACUAAUUCGACGUCCAAUCUUUCUAUCGUGAGUGAUCCGACCGCUAAAUCGAGACCAAACUCUCGAGACGUGUAACGUAGACCUUGUUGGACUUAUAGGAACGUUCGGAUCGGAAAUCAAUGGUUGUGGGCCCCGUGGGUCCAAUUGGUCAAAUUCCUCGAUCGUGGUCAAACCGAUCUUUGGAUUGUGACAAGACUUCUAAGAUGGGUUUAACUUAUGGUUAUGGACCAAUAGGAAUUGUCAUAUAACAAAUUGAGGUCGUGGGCCCUACGAGCCUAGUUAGCUAAGAUAGUGGGCUAUGUCGGCUCGGUUGAGGCCAUUUAGUAGUUGUAAUUGUAAUUGGAGGUUUGUUUUAAAUUGGUAUUAUACUUUGAGAGUUUUAUUAAAUGUUUAUGACUUACUAUGCAAUCGCUUUUACUUUCCAAUCAUGUUAUAUUAUGUUUAAUUGUGUAGAAUUGAGAAUGACUUAGAUAAAUGGGUUUUGGCAUGAAUAAGGAAUUAAUUAAAUGCUUGAUUUUAUGUCUAUAUUUAAAUAUAUGCUCGGUGGCUUGAAAUCGAUGAAUUAUGAAUACUAGUUUUCUCAAUAGUAUGUUGUACAUAUUUGAAUGUAGGUUGAGAACAGUUUUGAAAGAUUAUGCAUGGUCAAAUUCAAGUUAAGGAAUGUUGGGAUUGAUCUUGUUUUAAAAAGGGAUUUUUGGUUAUCUAUUUAAGAACUGAUUUUUUGGAAAGUUGAGAAAAGAUUUGGAAAAUAGAUUUGUGAAAGUGGAUUUGAGGGAAAAGAGGAAUUUUAUGAUAAGUUUCGGAAAAUGGUUUUCAAACCCACCACAGGAGUACCCCUCCGGUUGCCUUCGGAACAGUCUAGUCAUUUAUGACAAUGCACCACGAGUCUCGGGGACGCCUGAAUCAUGUGGUGUGAGGAUUUGCAUUCUCAGGUUGAUUAUAUCUUCCUAAGUUCUGUGAGGGAAUUUGACGGAUUUGCUUUUCGGGCUGAUCACCCGAUUCUGCAAGGAUAUGCGUUCUAGGGCUGACCACGUGUCCCCGAGUUCUGCGAGGAAAUGAGUUCUCGGGCUGACUACGUGUUCCCUGAGUUUUGCGAGGAUAUGUGUUCUCGGAUUGACCAUGUGCCCCCCGAGUUCUGCGAGGAUGUAACAUAUAUGGUACUUGAAAUUGACGGAUUAUGAUUUGGGGUACGCCUAAGUGGAGAGUAUUUGAGUUUUGAGAUGUUUUAAACUAAAAUUGAUAAUUUUAUCUUGGUAUUUAUUGGUGAAAGUUUUAAUACAUGUUUUCAGAUUUAUGAGACAAAAAUUGAGAGUUUUCUAAGUUUUAAUAAUUUUAUACAAUUCACAACUAUUUUCUUAAGUGAUGAGUUUGUUUUAACAUGUGAAAGAUGGAAGCAUGUUUUAUUCAAACAGUUGAUAUUGAUAUUGAGGUUUCACGUGGCCAAUGUUAUUUUAAUAAUUUUCUUGUUUUCCUACUUAUCUGUAAUGAGCUAUUAUAUGUAUGUAUUUGUAUAUGCACAUAUGUGAUGGGUGGAAGAUCAAUAUCUUUUGUUUAAGUUUUAGCGGAUUGAUUAGAGUUUGAAGCUUUUGGUUUUAGGAAAGUGUGAAAGAAUAUUUAAUUCAUGUGCUUACAUAUGGGUUGAACUUUAUUUUCUUGUAUGAAGAACUACAUGUGGCUUGAUCCCUUGGUAAGGGUACGCAGGCAACCUAGAGUUACUAGGUGCAGCAGCAAGAUCAAGUGCUGAAAAUUUGUUCAGUUAGGUCAUUUUGGAAAUUGUUAACAUAUCCAUGUUGUUCUAAGAGUUGAGACCAGAUUCAGAUGGUUGAAUGAUUUAUGUGGUAUAAAGAGGCCUGAUGCCAUUCAGAUUUAAUUGUCUGAUGCAUGCUGAAUGAUUGGGAUUUUUUUUUUAAACUGCAUAUCUUUUUUACAGGUGAAAAUUUAUUAGGAAAUGUCCGUUUUUCAAGGGAGAUUCUACCGGUUUUCUAGCGACGUUAAACCCCUAAAGGUGUUUUCGUUUUGCAGUUCAGGGCAAAAAUGGUAUUUUGGUCAUUUAUGCACGGCACCUGCCAAGUGUGGGACACGCACAGGGUUGGAAUUUGGGUCGGGUCUUGUUAGAUAAAGUCCAGAAUAUGGUAGAUGCCAUUUAAAGAAUAUAUGUUCCGAUUAUCAUCUUAGACUAGCAAAUAAGGAGCAUGAAUUCCUAGCAGUUACACAAUUGACAAAUCAAAGCCAAUAAGCAUAGAAUAUAAAUUCACAAUCCUUUCUGUAUUGAGAUCUUAUUACUCUUCGUGAUUAUGAGUCAUUGCAUCAUUAAUGACAACCUUUUAUGUAUGUAGGACUAUUGCAUUCAUUGAGAAAUUAUACAUGGAAAAAAAUUCCACUCAUUAACCAUUUCAAAAUUAGUUUUUAGGGCUAGAAACUUUUGACAACCAUUAAGGCACUUUCAUAUUUUUCAUUUAAUCUAUUGGCUCUGGAAAAAUGGUUAAAUGCCAAAAUAAUCUUUGUGUUAUCAAUUUCGAUAAUUUAGUCAUUGUAUUUUUAAUUUAGCCAAUUCAAUUCUCGUGUUUCAUGUUAGCCAAAAAACAAAUUGUUUAAAAACAAAACUAAGAUUGAAAAAAGAAACAAAACACUCUCCAACCAUGGAAGUGAUGGAAAGAGUAGGGGUAGGCAUCAAUAUGACUGAAUCGACUAAACUGAUUGAUUUAAACCAUAAUUAUCAAGUUGGUUCGUUUUGGCUAAGAAACAAUCAAAUGGUUUAGAAAUCAAACCAAAUUGUAAAUGGUUUGAUUUGGUUUGGUUUUGAGCUUUCGCAAACCGGCCUAAACCGAAUUGGACCUUCUACUUGUAUAUUUAUUUAUUUUAAUUUAAUUAUACAUGUGUAGUUCUUUCACUGGAUAAUAACUAGAUAUGGAUGUUGAAUUUUAAGUUUUAUGACAAUUUUUUUUUUUUGGAAAUACAGCGAUUACAAAUUAUAAAAUAUAGGGAGGGGGGCUCAAAGAUAACAUGAGGUUUCUAUCCUGGGUGCCAAGCAUGUUGGGUUCUUGUAUGGUUUGAUACACUAGAAAAUGAAAAAUAAAAAGGUAGCAUGUUGUGACUUUUUGUUGUUGUAAUUGGGGUAAAAAUGUUGAAAAAAAAAAACUAAAGGAAAAAUAAUUGGGCUUAGGCCCAAAUCAGCCGAACCAAAACAUCUUCAAUUGAUUUGGUUUGGUUUUCUUCAUAACUUUCGUCAAAAUCGAACCAAACUAAUUCGUUAUAUUGUAAUUGGUUCGAUCGCGAUUUUGUGAUGAAACUGAUCCAAUUCGAAUUGUACCCACCCCUCACAACUAACAUAGUAAAACACAUAAUCAAAUUGGCUCAUUUGAAAACAUAGGUACCACAUUGGUGAAAUGGAUAAAAUUUGUAGACCAUCUUAGUAUUUAACCCUUAAGAAAAUGCCCUUCCUUUUUUUUAGACUUUUCUCCAACCUACAAAAAAUUGGACUAGGCAAAUUCACCGAAAAAUCGCUCAAAUUGACCAAACCAAAAAUGCUAAAAACCAAGUUGUAUUGCUUGUAAUCUAUAUUGCACAGAUACAGAUAUGGGUACGCCGAUACAUAUGAUUCCCCGAUACGACAAAUCUCAAAACUAGAGUACGAAUACGCACCGAUACGGUGAUUAAAAUAAUAUGAAUAAUGCUAUUUGGACACACAACAUUGACCAUCUUAACUUACCACCUUAUGUGGCAACUGAUGUGUCAUGUCAUGUCAAUUAAUGAAUGCUGCCAUGAGACCACUCACUAGGAAUGCUAGGGUUUUUUAAUUUGUUUUUUAAUUGACAUGGCAACAUUCAUUAAUUGACAUGGCAUGACACAUCAGUUGCCACAUAAGGUGGUCAGUUAAGGUGGUCAAUGUUGUGUGUCUAAAUAGCAUUACUCAAAUAAUAUAUAUUUUAAAAGAUAAUAUAAAUAGGUCAAUAAUGGGCCCAAGGAAUCAUCAAAGUUUGGGCAUCUGGGUUAGACUUACUUAUAAGAACCCAAUUUGGUUCUCAUUCUUCGUAUAGUGUUCUAUUGUCAAAACAAAGCUAGCCCAUUAGGCCAUCUCCAGUCACAGAGCUAAAUGUAGUCCAGGGUUAAAAAUUUAGCCCUCCAAAAUAUUAAUUUUUUAAAGAAUAGUGCAUGGCUAAAUUUUUCCAUCUCCGCCAUGCAUGGCUAUAUUUUAGGGCUCUUCAUAUUUUAUUAUUUUGAGAAAAACUAUAGUACAACACUCAUAUAUUCCACAACUAUGGAUUAUUUAAUUUAAUUUAUAUAUUUUUUUAAAACAAAAUGAAUUUAACACAUUUUAAAAAGUUUUAAAUAAAUAAAUAAAUAAUAACUUUUCAAUUAACGAUUCUGACCUCCAACGAUUAGAAACCAAUUAUAUAUAUAUAUUUUAAAACAAAACGAAUUUUAAAACAUUUAAAAAGGUUAUUAAAAAUAAAAAUAAAAACCUAACGACUAGCUGACGUCAUUGAUGAUGUCAAUGCGCCUUUAAUAUUGGUUGUUAGAUUUGCAGUUACAUGAGAUGUUUCGUGCUCUUACCCACGCAUGAUACUUUCUCUUCAUGAAAAACACAUGGACUGAGCCCACAAAAAAAUCUGGCUUAGGCCGAAGCUAAGAUACAUUUGGCCUAGUUGGAGGGCUAAGGUUAUCUCCAGCCAUGGGCUAUAUCCCAAAUAUAGCCCUAAAAUAAUGCAAAACUCAUCUCCAACCAUGGGCUAAACAAAAUUUUGGCCAAAUUUGGAGGGCCACUUUCGGCCCUUUAGCCUUCCAACCGAGCCAUAUUUAGCCCAGCUUUGGCUUAUGACAAAUUUUUUGUGGGUCCCAUGCAUGUGCUUUUGAAGAAGAUAAAUUAUCAAGUGUGCGUAAGAGCACGAAUCAUCUCAUGCAAAUGCAUAUCCAACAACCAAUAAUAAAAGCGCUCAUGUCAUCGAUAUAUUUUUAAAAUCCUUUUUAAAUGUUUUCAAUUCGUCUUGUUUAAGAAAAAUUUAUAAAAAAUUAUUGGUCAUGAUCAUUGGAGGUCAAACUAUUGAAACCCAACCAUUUUUAUUUUAUUUUAAAUGUGGUCACCUUUUUAAAUGUUUUCAACUCGUAAAAAAAUUAUAAAAAAUUACUAGUCAUGACUGUUGGAGGUCAAACCAUUGAAACCCAUUGUUGUUGUUGUUUUUUUUUUUUUUGUAAAUAAAUGUGGUCACCUUUUUAAAUAUUUUCAAGUGUUGUUUAAAAAAAAUUAUAAAAAAUUAUUGGUCAUGGAAUACUACUGUCUCUAAAUAGUAGUUUAAUUAAAUUAAACAAUACAUAAUUAUGGAAUGUAUGAGUGUUGUACUAUACUUUUUCUCAAAAUAAUAAAAUAUAAAGGACCUAAAAUAUAGCCUUACAUAGCUGGAGAUGGAAAAAUUUAGCCAUGUUCUUUAAAAAAUUAAUAUUUUGGAGGGCUAAAUAUUUAGUCAGGGAUUACAUUUAACCUUAUGACUGAAGAUAGACUAUAAUGAGUGGAAAGUUAUAAGGGGUUCACUUUAUAGUCAUUAGAUCAAUCCAAGGGGUGGGGAGAAUUGAGAUAAAGUUUUACAAUCGGGUAGGUGAGGACCCAAACCAGAAUUUAAUAUCCAGCAGGUCAGAAAAAAAAGAAGAAAAAAGAGGCAAGUUCGAAGUUUGAACAGAAAAAACUCAUCGCUCCAAAACCCAUAGCUCUGAGAAACAACUAAGCUCUGAGAAACGGUUGAAGGCAACGGUUAACGACGGUUGAAGGCACCGGUUGAACGCCACUCCGUUCUCCAGACCCUGAAAAAGUAUUUAUUUUGAGUGGAAGGGACAAAGGUGUGGAUUCUGAAACAGUGAAGGGGCAAAGCAGUGGAAGGGGAAGGAGAGAAGCCGUAUUCGUUGGAAGUGAUAGGUUCCAUUUGUUGAGCAAAGCCACACAAACACCCCGCACAGACACCUUGCGAUUGUUCAAUAACCAGCAUUUGGUGAGUAAUUUAUGGAAUUUGAGUUUAGGGUUAGAGUAACGGUUUUCCCCAAUUUGUACCGUCAAUGUUGUUGGAUUUGGCAUCUCUUCUUUGUGCUUCACUUGCACGUCAAUUUUUGCUUGGGUAUAUGUUAAAACACGAAUAAAAAUCAAGUCAAUAACAUAUCAAUAACAGAUCAAUAACAUGUUAAUAAUUAUAUGAAUAAGAUAAUGGUGUUGAAUUGGAGGAGGCCCUCAAAACCUUCCACAUUUGAAGCAGUGCAGAGUGCAGAGUACCUCUCUGGCGCUAGAAUUUAUAUAUAUUUUUUAAAUAAAUAUUGUUUCAUUUGUUACUAAAUUUGCCUGUGAGAAAUGAGAACUGAUAAUAAUAAACUCAUGAAUAAAAGUGCAAAGCAUUUGAAAUAAAGGUUGAUCUAUGACGAUUGUGGCUGACUGAAGAAAAAGCUAGAAAGAAAGAAGGAUGUGGCAAUGGCUUAGCAAGCAGAUAGCAGAGUAGAUGCUUUGCUUUGCUUCCUUCCACUAUAUUUCUUAUUCAUUUAUUUAUUUUAUGUUGUGUAUGAGAUGACAAUAAUUGUCAUGUGUGUGAAGUGCAGAACUUGCCUAGAUUGCACUCACACUCACUUAUGCAUCAACCAUUGAUUGGAGUUUGGAUCCAUAAAUAAAACACAUGAAAUUGUUUGUAAUUCACAUAAUCAUUGCAUUAACAGGUAUUUGCACAAAAUUUGUCAUAUUGCUUUAAUGAUGUUAAAGCCUGUGAUCAGUAAUCCCUAUGCUCAUGUACUUUGUAAAAUUUGUAAUGUGCCUGGUUGACUAGUUAUGUAAAUACCAAUGUGAUUGUGCAAAUACGUGGUAGUAUAUGUGUUCACGUUAUUUCAUCUUGUAUUUCAGGAAAUGGGAUCCAAUGUGGAGCUGGUAUGGCCAGAGUCAGAGGCAUAUUCGUCACAGGUGAACAACUGCUCAUAUGCAAAUUCAUCUCUAGCUGCAAUUCGAGCGAAGUUGAGUGCGGAACAAUUAGAACAAUUCAAGACAUCAUGCUUUGGCCAUAUUCUGAAUAUAUAUAUAUAUAAGAUUCAGUUUAGCGGGCAGAUUGUGCAUGGGGUUGGGUUGCAUAGAGUAGUCGGCAGGGUGUGAAAGACUUGGAUGGACUGAGUUUCUUAAUAGGGUGUGACGUUGCUCAGUUCACUCGUCAGGAUUUUUGUUUGAUCACAGGGCUUCAUUUUGGGGAAGUGCCUGAAGUUUCCAAUAGAGAGAGUGAUGAAAUUAGACUUCAGAAAAGAUAUUUUAUAGACGAAUGAAUUACAUGUAAUGCUUUAGAAGAAGCAUUUCUGAGGUGCACAGAGGAAGAUGACAUCUACAAGCUAGCUCUUGUUUACUUUGCUGAGUUAGUGGUUUUGGGAAGGGACAAACAUUUGAACAUCAAUCUAAAUUACCUGACCCUUGUAGAGGACUUGGAUGCGUUCAACAGGUAUCCGUGGGGUUCGGUGUCCUUUGACAAAAUCCAAGACAGUCUAUUUUCUGCACCAACAAAGUAUGUGAAAAGCUUUGAAAAUGAAGAGGGAAGAGGGAAGGGGAAAAGUAAGGUAACGGGACCAAGCCGGAGAAAUGAGAAGGGCAAGAAGGAUAAGCAUGGUGAAAUGCAAAAGGGUGGCUGGAAUAUUAAAGGUUUCACGUAUGCUUUCCAGGUACAUGGUAAUAAUGUUCAUGUCAGUUAUGUUUUGUGGAUUUUAAAACUUAAAUAAUGACUUUUGUCCUGUGAAUUGUGUAGAUUUGGGUAUAUGAAUUAAUUCCUAGAAUGGCGGACCUGAAUUAUUGCAAGGUUGUUGAUCCGACAGCUGUCCCACGUAUUUUGCGAUGGAGAACUACUACGUCUGUUCUCGAGAUGAGAAAGUUGAACUAUUAUUUUUUUCAGAGUAAAGAGGUUUGGUUUGUAGCCCUUGAAACUAUUUAUAAGAUUCAAUGAAAUUAUGAAGUAGAAUGAUUGAAUAUGACUCUUGUCUGUAUUCUGAAACAGUCAGUUCAGUUGCUAGCACUAUGUCCGAGUGAAAAGAAAAUGAGACAACCAUAUUGGAGUUUAACACAGGAUCGCCCUGCUGUUGUCUCGGCAGAGUCAAUUCCUUCUUCAUGUGCUAACCUUGAUGAGUUGAACAAAGUGGUAAGCUUGUUGAGGUCCGAGUUGUUUCAAGUAAAGCGGGAAAAGGACGUUCUUGAGUUAAAGGUCAUACGGAUGGAAAAACUUUUGGACCACUGUUUAGGUCCUCAGUUUAAGCAGGAAGUAAGGAGGGACCUAGCUUUACUAACAAAGAGGACAAAUCGUUGUGUCAUCUCACAUCUAUUUAAGGGAAGUGAGGAAAUGGAUGACAUUCAAUGGGAUGAAGGGCCAUGUAACAGAAAUGAGGGAGAGGAAAAGGAAGAUGAAGGGAUUGAAGGGGGCGAAGGGCCAAGUAACAGAAAUGAAGGAGAGGAAAAGGAAGAGGAGGGGAUUGAAGGGGGUGAAGUGCAAGGAAAACCAAGUGAGGUAGAGGAAGCUCAAAGGAAAAGAAGUGAGGGAGAGCAAGUGAAAAUAAAAAGCAGCAAGGGAGAGGAAGCGUAAAGAAAGAGCAGUGAAGGAGAAGAAGUGAAAAGAAAAAGCAGUAAGGGAGAGGAACUGCAAAGAAAGAGCAGUGAGGGAGAGGAAGUGAAAAGAAAAAGCAGUAAGGGAGAGGAACUGCAAAGAAAAAGCAGUGAGGGAGACCUACGGGGAGAUGCUUACAUGCCAUGAUAUUGGUUGAACUUGGUUUAGGUACAUGAUGAUUAAAUAGGUUUUGGGAAUGUCCAAUUUCAAACUCAUGUAAAUACACAAUAGAGACAUACGAGUCCUUUUCGAAUUCUACCUCUGCUCCUCAAUUCUUCUUCGUCUUUCUCAAUCUUAGUGUAUUUUUGUUCAUAAUUUUAGGUUUAAGUUAUUGGACAAUAACAAUUAGAACCAAAAUAGUGGCAAAUAUUAUAGCGGAUGCAUGCUUUCAUUUCGAUUAGUGUGAUACUACGCUACGUUUAUUCUCAUAUUGUGCUAAAUGUAUAUGGAGCUGGAUGCAGAGCAUAGACAGAAAAAUGAAGAAUCUGAAAUGGAGAUGCUGAGGCUUGGUGAGGAGAAAAGUAAAUGGAUCUAUAAAUCUAUUGCAUGUAGGCAAUGUAAAUGGAUAGGCAGAUGAGUUUUUGAAGUUAGACACAUGUCAUUCCCAUACAUGGAAUGUGUCUAUGGAGUGUAAAGUUUUUUUGGGUUUAAUGAAACAAACAUCUGUGUAAUAUUAGCCUAACUCCUUCACGGCAUUUACAUAACUUUAACCAAACUGUAUUGAAUUGGGAUUUAAAGACUGCAUAUGUGAAUUGGGAUUUGAAGAAUGCAUAUGUGAAUGGGGACUGAUAGCUUUUUGAGUGUAUUACAUCAUUGCAAAGUGAUAUGUCAUCAUUUAUGCAAGCCACCAUUCCAAAUAUCAUAUCCCAAUCUUUAAGCCGUUCAACAUGCCUUGACUUAAUCGCAAUGGGUUGCAUCUUAAUAAGGUAAUUCUGUAAGGGGAAUAAGCGGCUAUGGCCUAGCCUCCAAUGUUUUAUUCAACCAUGCCCUCUUUAUAGAAACACAUGAAAAAAUGUCCCCAGGUGCAAUGCUAUAAAAACUCCCUAUUGGUUUCGUAUCGCCCAUCGGGUUUGAAUCCCUCUCUCUUUUAUAAUCGGUUAAUAAAUUCGUUGAUUUUCUUUAUUUUAUUGAUUUUGGGCAGCUCAGUAGAAUAAAAGUAAUGUAUAUUGGUGCAUCUAUAUUACAUGUAUGUUGCGUCUAUAUUGCUUCUCUAUUGCGUGCAUAUCUUACAUUUAUUGUAUGUGUAUUGAUUGUUUAUUGCUUACGAAGGAAAUAAACAACAAUAUUAUACAGGCAACAGACAAGCAAUAUACACACAACAGACAACAAUAUACACGCAAUAGAUAUGCAAUAUACACACAAUAGACAUGCAAUAUACAUCAGUCCCCAAUUACACCAACCAUAAGGAAGUCGUAUUGAAUAGGAAAUUAUACUUAACAGUUGUUCUUCCUACUAAAAGAAAGAAUAAGGUCCGUUUUCCCCCUUAAAUAUUACUUGAGUGGUACUUUUGCCCCCAAUAAACAUGUAAUAUUGGAGCACUAACAUGCGAUAUACAUGCAGCAAACAAUCAAUAAACAUUCAAUAUCAGGUUAAUAACAUGCGAAAUACAUGCAGUUAACAAUUAAUAAAUCUUCAAUAAACAUGUAAACAAUCAAUAAACCUUCAAUAAACAUUCAAUAUCGGUUCAAUAACAUGCGAAAUACAUGCAGUUAACAAUUAACAAACCUUCAAUAAACAUGUAAACAAUCAAUAAACCUUCAAUAAACAUUCAAUAUCGGUUCAAUAACAUGUGAAAUACAUACAGUUAACAAUCAAUAAACCUUCAAUAAACAUGUAAACAAUCAAUAAACCUUCAAUAAAUAUUCAAUAUCGGAGCAAUAACAUGCGAAAUACAUGCAGUAAACAAUCAAUAAACCUUCAAUAAACAUUCAAUAUCAUGCGAUUUAUAUGCAGUAAGCAAUCAAUAAACUUUAAUUAUACGCAAAUAAACAAUCAAUUUUCAAAAAAAAUGUAUUGUCUUAUUAUUGCAUCAUAUUGGCCCUGUAUUGCGAUUUUAUCGUCUUCGUAUGACUUUAUUUUUUUAAAGUAAGUCUUGGAAAGUUUUUGCUGGGUUUUAGACAAAUAAAUACUUCUGUUUAAAUUCAAUGUCAAUCCACCUAUUUCAAGAACAAAAAUUACAAAAUGGGUUUGAAAACUCAUUGGUGGUGCGUGUAACAUGUCUUUUUGGGGAGAAAUUCCACAAUCUUUGAAACCGUGCACUUAAUUAGUCAUUAAAAGAACAAAUAAUAUGACAAUUGAUACAACUAAUAAAACUAAUACCAAGUCCUUAAUGGACUUCAGCAUAUUCAGCACUGUAGCAUCAUACGUGUCAUAUUGCUGUUCUGCUUUAACGGAGGUUACAUCAACCCAUUCGAAUCCAUUGCAACUGGUGGCUCCCUAAUUGCAGACAUCAUAUAUGCAAAAUAAUUCUGUCAGAGUUAGACCUAGGUUAUUUUCACCCACAUACAUAUUCUUGAAAUGAAAACUUACAUAGGAGGUUAGACACUUCCGAAAUGGCUUCCCUCGAUUUUUAUCUGAUUUUGAAACCCGAAGCACCAUUGUAGCUCCACAAUACUGACACCUCUUUGUUUGAGCGGGAGAUGAAGACGAAGACAUGUUGAAUCUUCUCACUUGUACCUCUGCUCACUCAGAUCUUCUCACUGAAACCUCUUCAGACUUAUACUUUCUCACUCAUAGUUCUCAGUCAUACCCAUUCACUCAUAACCCUAAACUUCUCACUCAGCUCUCUCUCAUCUCUGCCCAAAUCGAAUUAUAUCCUUCUUUUUUGUGUGUGGGGGGGUUGGUCACGAUCUGGACACAUGUACCAUCAGAAUUAUGACACCUUUUACCCCGAAAAGCAGUAUAAUAUUUCACUACCAAAUAUUAAUCUGAAAAUUGAGGGGACACUGCUUGAAAUAUAUUAUUUUAUUUAUAUUUCAUUAAGGCAACUAGUUGGAUAAGAAUCCAUCAUCAUUGGUUCUAUUUUAAUAACAUUACUAGGGGUAGUUUGGUGUGAGAAAAUAAAAAAGUAUCUGAUGGGACCUUCUGUGACUAGUCAGUAAUCCAUCACAUUUGUAUCAAUGAAUUUGAUGGCGGGAAAAUCCUAAAAAUGGCUGUGCAAAUAGGUUAUUAAUUGACUUUUUGACUAUCUGACUCUCUUUGCAUUUUGAUGACGUUUUCCCUUCUUUUGUCUUGAGUUUUAGGGUGUUGGGUUUAGUUUCUUUUAAAAUGGUCAACUUGGAAAAACCCAAAGUGGAAACACCUUUUCAAAACACUACAAACAGAGGCUAAAACAAAACCAAAACCCCAUAUUUUCUCAUUUCUCCCCUCUUCCACUCCUCAAAUCGUUCCAUUCCAAAAACAUUUCAAUGAAUUCGAAACAUUUCACUACACUCGGAGGAAAGAGAAGGAAGCAUCUCCAUUUGGAUAUGCCCCAAGCCUUCAUCCCGGAGUUAGCUUGGUUUAAAGUGAUGUUAUACGUGGCAACCCAAUCAUCGGAAGAUCUCUUCCGUAUGGCAUCUAUGUGCCCAUUGUUCCAUACGUUGGCAAACACUCCACAAGUGUGGAACACCAUUUCAAUGGCAAAGUACCCAGACCAUCCUAGCUGGUACCAUGUCAAUCCUCGGUUCAGCAUUUCUUGCAACAAUGUAGGGCUUGCGAUAACCGUGAGUCGAUAUUUAGAGAAGCAUUCGAAGUGUUUUUCAUGCAAGGUAACGUGGAAGAGUUGUAUGGGAUGCGCAUUGUAGCCACGGCAGGCCAUAUGGAAGCGGCAUAUCUAGUUGGACUACUUGGCAUGUCUGGAAUUGGUCAGUCAAAAGAGGAUGCAUUAGAAUUCUUGUGUUCUUUGAAUCGACGUAACAACAUUGAUAUGAAAGGAACCAGGGAUGCUUUGAGACGAAGAUUAAGCCGAGUUUUCUCUGUUGCAAGACAUAUCGUAGAUAUGUUUUACUAUGGGAAGAUUAAGUUCAAUCACUGCAGUGCUUGUAACAACAACAAAUGGUGUUUUGUUAUUCAAGGCUGGCCUACUGAAGAAAAGAUAAAUCCUGCCUUCUGGACUUGUUGUAAUCAAUGCAAAUGGCACCGUGAGAGUAUUUUUUUGGUUCAAGGUGAUGUGUGUGUAUGUUGUGCCAGGAAAUCCAUACCCUUAUAAUUAGUUGUAGUAUGUUUUUAUGGUUUUUAUGCAUUGUGGACUUGCUUCUCUUCAGCUUUAGGUUGGCUGGCUACGUUGUACAAAUAUUGUUUAAAUGUUGGGUUUUAAUCUAUUUUGUCUGGUGUUUGUGCUGUCAUAAACCGUUUUAUGUAUAAAUGUAUAAUAUAUAUAUAUUAUAUAGUGGAAUGAUUACUGACAUCAUAAACGGCUAUAAAUGACAUUUUACUGACACAGAUAUUUUGCACAACUGCAAUCUUAAUAUUUGGUAAACGAAAAGGCAUGCAUGGAGUGAGUAGGUGUCUUUUCACCAGUGCUUGGGAAUGACAUUUUCUCACUUAGCAUAUUCCAAAUGAUUUGGUUACACAUUUCUUAAGCAAAACUUGAAUAGUGAAUGACUUUGAAUAAUUUUUUCCUGAUGUUGUAGAAUGGAUGGCUUGUAUAUUUCCAUUUUAUUUUUCAAAACAUCCCUUAAACCUAAAAAAGAAAAAAAAAAUAACAAAUUGAAGAAGAGAGAAAUUGAUUAGCACUAGAAAUGGUCUAUUCGCACGAAAAAUAAAAAUUUUAAAAAAAAUUGGAGUAAAUAUAAUUAACAAAUGUAUAGGCUAAAAAGUAAUAUAAUAAUAAUAAUAAUUUAGGAUAAAUAAUAAUAAGAUACUAAUAUAGCAUAACCAUGAAACAGGGAAUUCAGUAGUAAGAUGAAGUAUCAAUGAGUUCGUAGCAAUUUUCAGAACAUUAUUGUGAUUUUUGUGUAUUUAGUUAUGAAUUUUCCAAGAAAAAGUAAUAAAAUAAUAAUUUAUGGUAAAAGGCAAGGAUGUGGCCAUGUUGACUAACGUACACUUGUGCAAGUGGUGAAAGGUGACAGGCUGAGAUCGUGCCAGGUGUCCUCUUGCAAUUACUCUGGCUUUUUUAGUGCAAAAAUCUUUGAAAAAAAGGUAAUAAAUAGUAGGAAAAUCCUAAAAAUACUCCGAAAAUUACCCUAGCCUCCUUGUGACGUUAUAAAACUAGGGGAACCUAUAAAUUAUCCGUCUCGCAAUGAAAAAAUCCAAUUUGUUUUAGAUAACUCACUUUCUUUUUAACCCUAAGUAUUUAUGUUUGUUAACUUUAACUUCAAUAACCUACAUCAACAAGUAUCUCCCGUUAAUGUUUGGAAUUAUUUUUUAAAAUGCAUAACCAUGAAUCUGGGAAUUCAGCAAAGGAGAUGGAGUCUCAAUGAGUUCGUAGCAAUUUUCGGAUCAUUUUUCUAAUUUUUGUGUAUUUAGUUAUGAAUUUUCUGAAAAAAAUUAAUAAAAUAAUAAUUUAGGAUAAAAGGCAAGGAUGUGGCCAUGUUGACUGACAUACAUUUGUGCAAGUGGUGAAAGGUGAGGAGCUGAGAUUGCGCCAGGUGUCCUCUUGCAAUUAUUUUGGCUUUUUUAGUGCAAAAAUCUUUGAAAAAAGGUAAUUAAUAGUAGGAAAAUCCUAAAAAUGCCCGAAAAUUACCCCGGCCUCCUUGUGACAUUAUAAAACUAGGAGAACCUAUAAAUCAUCUAUUUCACAAUGAAAGAAUCCAAAUUGUUUUAGAUAACUCACUUUCAUCUUAACCCUAAGUAUAUAUAUUAACACUUUACCUUCAAUAACCUACUUCAACAAGCAUCUCCCGUUAAUGUCCGGAAUUAUUUUUUAAAAUGCGUAACCAUGAAUCGGGGAAUUCAACAAGGGAGAUGGAGUGUCAAUGAGUUCGUAGCAAUUUUUGGAUCAUUUUUCUAAUUUGUGUGUAUUUAGUUAUGAAUUUUCUAAGAAAAAGUAAUAAAAUAAUAAUUUAGGAUAAAAGGCAAGGAUGUGGCCAUGUUGACUGACGUACACUUGUGCAAGUGGUGAAAGGUGACGGGCUGAGAUCCCAGGUGUCCUCUUGCAAUUAUUUUGGCUUUUUUAGUGCAAAAAUCUUUGAAAAAAUGUAAUAAAUAAUAGGAAAAUCCUAAAAAUGCCCUGAAAAUUACUCCGACCUCCUUGUGAUGUUAUAAAACUAGGGGAACCUAUAAAUCAUCUGUUUCGCAAUGAAAAAAUCCAAAUUAUUUUUACAUAACUCACUUUCCUCUUAACCCUAAGUAUAUAUUUUUGUUCACUUUAACAAGUAUAUUUCCUUAAUAUUCGUUAUAUAACUUGUAAUAAUACAAGAAUUAGUUUCCUUUCAUACAUAAGGAUGUAAAAUUAUCUGUUUUGUUAAAAUAAUGUACAUAUAUAAUAAUUGCACAUGCUUUGAAGCCAUCAUUGCAACUGCGCCUAGAGCUUUGAACACGUCAGAGGUAUUCAAUAAGUUGUCCAUAUGACUCCGCAUUGGGAAUCAGUAAUAUAUUUUCUAUCAUGUCCAAUCACAUAAAAUAAUGCCAUACUUUUUCUGAAAAACCUCACACCAGUCAAGCAGUUUUAAAAUAUUAGUGAAUAUUUGUCCUAGUCUAUAUGAGUGAUUAUAUAUUCAGUCUGCAUUUUUUUUCACAGUAUAUGUUAACUUUGAGAGGGUUCCACAAACAUAUAAUAUAAAGAAAGAAAGCAAUAGUAGGAGAUGAACCAGUACAAAAAACAAUAUAUAAGUGGUACAUAAUAAUUCCAUAACCUUGUCACAAACGCACUCACAAAUGCUUUUCCAUAAACCUUGCCCUAACAUAUAAUAAAUAAAGUGUUAGUACGAAAAUCGUAUUGGCAUUUCCUAGGCUGUAGUAUAGGUUGAAAAUUAGUUUGUGAGGAAUUGCUACUGGAAGUUUUGGCACUACUCUUUCAAUCUCAUACCUCUGAGGCAUGAUUUGACCGAUAUGAGAAACUGAUUUCAAGUAACUCAUGACAUCAUCAUGCAUUCAUUAUAGGAUUCCUAAUUAGAGUUAUUUUCACUCAAAGUAUUUUUUAUCUUAAUCUUAUUUUUAAUAGGAUUAGAUUUUAUCUCUUAAUAUUACUUUCCUAGUUAAACUCUAUUUUGAUUUAGAUUAAAAAUAUUAUGUUUUCAUUAUCUUGGACUUGGAAAGUAUGUUUUAAUGAAUAUCCUAUUUGGUUCCGUGUUUACAUCUUGAUAUAUAUUGUUUCAUUGAAUAAACAAUUGAUUGAGUGCAACUGAGAAUAUGACGAAAUCAUAUAGGACUCUAUGACCAUCAAAUUAAAUGCAUGGCAAGAUAUUGAGUUGUGGUUGUGGGUCCUCUCGUGGAUUGUGGAGAAUAAGUUUUGUAUAAAUCAUUGUGUGCAUCUCUUAGGUUUGGACAGCUUUUGAUAUUUGUGAUGAGCAUAUAGAAUUCUUAAGCAAAAGCUGAUGUGCAUAUAUUUGAGAUAAAUCAUCAAGUGUUCUAUGUUUACUUGGUGAUUUAUCAAACACUUUAAUAAUUCAUAUUGCAUUCAUAUGCAUGUCGGUGACUCAUACGGUUGAGGGCACUAAAAUCGUGGUGGCGGUUUUCCUCCGGUGAGCUUGAAGCAAUCGUGGCCAGUAUUGCGUUCAACAUAAGGAGUGUCGAAGAUCAUCCCGUAACAGAAGUUGAGUCACGAAGAAGUCGGUAAACAUUAUAUCUAGAAUGAGUCUAGGAUAAGUGUGUGAGUACUUCUUGUAAUCAUUGUUCUAUAGUGGAUUUGAGUUGGACUAAGGAGUCCCGUGGAUUUUCCCCAGAGGUGGGAUUUUACCAUGUAAAAUAAUUCUCUGCGUGUUAUUUUAUUUUAAGCUUUGCACAUCUCAGGAUUGAUAACAUAUCAAUCCUGCUUCAAAGGUUGAUCAUUAUUUAUUGCAAAAAUUCGAAUUAGCUUGUUUAACUUUCUCCAGGCAUAUAUAGAUAUCCUACAGGUAUUUUCAAUUGGCAUCAGAGAAGGUUGCUGGACAUACUCAGCUAGAUCUAACAUACCUUAGGAUGGAUCGUGCCGCUGGUUCUGUUGCACACCCACCAUACUUCGAUGGCCACAACUAUGGUGCUUGGAAGGCUAAAAUGAAGUCCUUUCUUUGGUCCUUAGAUGAACGUGUAUGGUAUACAGUGGUUCAUGGAUUUUCUGAUCCCACAAAGAAGAUCGGAAAAGGAGAUGAAGAAACCACAGUUCUCAAAUCUAGAGAGGAGUGGACCACUGCAGAAGCCACACACAGUACCUAUAAUCAAAAGGGGUUAAAUGCUAUAUUUACUGCUGUCUCUUCCGAUCAAUUUGAAUAUAUAUAUCUAGUUGUGAUACUUCUAAGGAAGCUUGAGAUAUUUUGCAGGUCACCCAUGAAGGAACAGAUACUGUUAAGGGAGCCGAGCUUCAAAUGCACACUCUACAGUUUGAGACAAUCAUGAUGGAUGAGAAUGAAACCUUUUCUGAAUUUUAUGCCAAAGUUUACGUUAUUGUGAAUGCAUGUUCAAGUUUAGGUGAAAAAAUUCCAGAAGAUAGGGUGGUGAAAAAGAUUUUAAGGUCCUUGCCUCAACGUUUUCACCAAAAAUCACAGCCAUUGAAGAGAUUCGUAACCUGAAUACUAUGAAAGUUCGUGAACUCAUAGGGUCGCUUCAAACCUAUGAGAUGAAGCAUCUAGCUCCUAAGAAGAAUAAAAGCGUUGCUCUUAAAGUAGUUGAUAAAGAAGAUGGUGAACACCAAUCUGAAGAAUUCAAUUGGGAGGAAUUUGCUUAUCUUUCACGACAAUUCAAGAAGUUUUUCAAAUAUCAAAAUUCCAGAAGUCAUGAUUCAAGAAAUCACUCAGGUAUAAAUUCAAAAGUUAAACAUGGUGAUUAUACUGAUGGUAAUGUAAAAUCUCGCAAGUUCACUGAGAAGAAAACCACUAAAGAGAGAGUCAAGUGCUAUGAAUGCGAAGGAUAUGGACAUAUAUCCUCUGAAUGUGCCAACACACAAAAGAAGCAAAAUGGCAAAGCCAAAGCACUGAAUGUAACCUGGAGUGACUGUGAUUCAGAAUUAGAAAGUGAAGAAAAUACCAUUGCAUUAAUCACCACUGUCAGUUUGGAUAAGGCACAGCAAAUCAAUGGGAAUGAUGAAGAACCAAACAUUGGUUAUGUGCUGGAAAAGUAUGACGAUCUGCUAGCUGCUUCUCAGAAACUUAAUCAACACAACAAAGAGCUUGCCAAAAAGGUUGCUAUGCUGGAGCUCGAAAACAGUAGGAUUGCCAGGACAUUACAAUCCUCUGCUGCUGAACCAGAAUCAAUUGGUGAAGGUAUGUAUGAAAAAUUGGAAAUACUACAAAAAAAAUGCAUUGAUCAAAAUAAAUUGAUUGAUUCUUUGACUUCUAACAAACAAGUUCUUGAAAUUGAGCUUAAAAGUUCAAAGGAAAGGAUUAUUGCUUUGACAAUUGGUGCAGAAAAGAUUGACAAAAUGAUGAGCAUGGGUCGAAGAGAUGGAGACAAACGUGGCUUGGGUUUUGAUUCAGUAAACAAGCCUUCCGCUGUAUCCGUCACAAAGUUUGUCAAACCAUCACUUUCUACUGGUAUUUCCACCUCUCAAACACCUUGGAGAUUCAUACCUACGUGUCACUAUUGUGGAACUCUUGGACACAUCCGACCAAAAUGCAAACUGCUUCAACAGAUUUCAGUAAGUCAAAAACCCACUAAGGAGGGACAGGUAAGAAUUUAGCACAAGAUUUCUUAUCUUGUAAAAGAGGUAAGUAGGUUGUCAAAACUUUCUCGUUCCUUAUCUUUACCAACUUCAAAUCUAGUGUGGAGGAGAAAGGAUAAUCAAAACUGCUUGGUGGCAAUUUCAAACGAUACACAUCAAACUAAUGUUCCUGAAAUAUUAGAUGUGAAAUGUUUUGUUGCUUUUAUUGCUCUGUCUGACUCUAAAUCUAAAUCUUGGUAUUUUGAUAGUGGAUGUUCAAGACACAUGACCGGUGAGAAAUCAUAUUUUUUAGAAAUCUCUACAGAAGGCGUGAGUGGAAUGGUCACUUUUGGAGAUGGAAGAAAAUCCAAGAUUUUGGGCAAAGGAAGGAUUAUGGCAAUUGGUACACCUAACUUGGACAAUGUUUUAUUAGUUGAAAAUCUUCAAGCAAAUCUCAUCAGCGUAAGUCAACUUUGUGAUGAAAUGGGUGAGGUAAGUUUUACUAAAAUCCAAUAUAUUGUCAAUAAUCAAGAUGGAUCAAAUGUGAUGACUGGAAAUAGAUCACCCGACAAUUGUUAUUGUUUUUCCACUAAUGAAGUUUCUCAAGUUUGUUUUAGGACAAGUAAAGAUCAUCUUGAUUUAUGGCAUCAACGUUUGGGACAUAUGAAUUAUCAAGAUUUAAUUAAAUUGUCCAACUGUGAAUCUGUAAGAGGAUUGCCCAAUCUUUCAGGUAAACGUGAGGGUGUCUGUGAAGGGUGCCAACUGGGGAAGCAAACCAAAAACCCUCACAAAGCUACAACCUCAAUCUCUACUUCUAAAACUUUGGAACUGAUGCAUAUGGACUUAGUUGGUCCAAUACAAGUUGCUAGCUUAGGAGGAAAGAAAUAUAUCCUUGUCUUAGUAGAUGAUUUCUCACGUUUUACUUGGGUGCAUGAUAAGACAGAAGCUUUUAAUUCCUUCUAUGUUUUGUACAAGCUAAUCAUGAAUGAAAAAUAUGACAGUAACUCUUGUAUCAUGAGAGUUAGGACAGACCAUGGAACGGAAUUUGAAAAUCAAGCUUUCUCUAAAUUUUGUUCUGAAAAAGGAAUAAAACAUGAAUUUUCUGCUCUAAUCACUCCCCAACAAAAUGGGGUAGCUGAAAGGAAAAAUAGAGUCCUUCUUGACAUGGCUCGUGUCUUGUUGAAAAGUGCCAAUUUGACAGAUUAUUUUUGGGCUGAAGCCAUUUGUACUGCAUGCUAUACAUCUAACCGUGUGUUUUUCAGGCCACAUACCAAGAGCACUCCAUAUGAAAUCUGGAAAGGGAAGAAACCAAAUGUCAAGCGCUUAAGGACUUUUGGUAGUAAAUGCUACAUUUACAAAGACAGGGAGUAUCUUGGAAAAUUUGAUGCAAGAAGUGAUGUUGGAAUAUUUCCUGGAUAUUCUAUGAAUAGUCGAGCAUAUAUGGUGUUUAAUAGUCGCACUAAAAUAAUAAUGAAAUCAGCUAAUGUGGUUGUAAAUGACACUUUUAUAUUGUAGGUUGAACCAAGCAGUGAAGAUACAGAUCUAGAAAUUCACGAACCUGUAGAUGGUACUGGAAUUGAUUUUGAGGAUUGUAACCAGCAUUUCAAUCCUGUGAUACGCAGACCUGGUGCUAAACAAGUUCAGAAAGAUCACUCACCCUCUGAUGUUAUUGGAAAUGUUAAUGAUAAAAUGAGAACUCGACAACAAGUUUGUAAUGAGGUAACCAAUUUCUGCUAUGUAUCCUUUAUUGAACCUAAGAGUGUAGCAGAUGCUCUUGCAGAUAAUGACUGGAUUCUGGCUAUGCAAGAGGAAUUAAAUCAAUUCAAAAGAAAUGAUGUGUGGUACCUUGUUCCACGUCCCAAAGACACAAAUGUAAUUGGUACCAAGUGGAUCUUUCAAAAUAAGACAGAUGAGAAAGGGCAAAUCAUGCGCAACAAAGCUAGACUUGUUGCCCAAGGUUAUACUCAAAUUGAAGGUUUGGAUUUUGAUGAGACCUUUGCUCCGGUUGCGCGUUUAGAAUCUGUUCGAUUGUUGCUAUCCAUUGCAUGCUAUCUUCGGUUCAAGCUUUAUCAAAUGGAUGUCAAGAGUGCGUUUCUAAAUGGAGUUUUACAAGAGGAAGUCUAUGUGGAACAACCUGUAGGUUUUCAAGAUCCUAUCCAUCCCAAUCAUGUAUAUCGUCUGAAAAAGGCUCUCUAUGGACUCAAACAAGCCCCGAGAGCAUGGUAUGAUAGACUGUCCACACACCUUCUUCAAAAAGGGUACACACGUGGUAGCAUUGAUAAAACCCUCUUUGUCAAAAGAACCAAACAGGACUUAAUGGUUGCUCAAGUAUAUGUGGAUGAUAUUGUUUUUGGAUCUACUUCUGACCUACUUGUUAAAGAAUUUCAUGAGGUAAUGCAAACCGAAUUUGAGAUGAGCAUGUUUGGUGAACUAAAUUUUUUCCUUGGCUUACAGGUCCAACAAUUUAAUGGAGGCAUGUUCAUAUCUCAAACAAAGUAUGCCAAAAACCUAGAGUCCAAAUUUGGUCUGGAAUCUGCCAAACCCAUUCGGAAUCCUAUGAGCACAAGCACCAAACUUUCCAAGGAUUCAUCUGGCAAAAGUGUCGAUCAAAAACUAUACAGAAGCAUGAUUGGCAGUUUGUUAUAUUUGACUGCCAGUAGACCAGACAUCUCUUUCAGUGUUGGACUUUGUGCUCGCUUCCAAUCCGAUCCCAAAGAAUCACAUCUACUUGCUGUGAAAAGAAUUCUUCGCUAUGUAAGUGGCACUACAACCUUUGGUGUAUACUACUCAUUUGACUCAAAUGUUGAACUUGUAGGCUAUUCCGAUGCGGAUUGGGCAGGGCGCAUUGAUGAUAGGAAAAGCACAACUGGCGGAUGCUUUUACAUAGGCAACAACCUUGUUUCCUGGUUUAGCAAGAAGCAAAAUUGCGUCUCUCUCUCCACAGCUGAGGCCGAGUACAUAGCUGCUGGGAGCUGCUGCACACAGUUGUUAUGGAUGAAACAAAUGCUAAAUGACUAUGGCAUUCAUCAAGGUAAAAUGGUAACGUUUUGUGAUAACAUGAGUGCAAUUAAUAUCUCUAAAAAUCCAGUUCAACACUCUCGCACAAAACACAUUGAUAUUCGUCAUCAUUUUAUUCGUAAAUUGGUGGAAGAGAAUGUGCUCUCGCUUGAAUUUGUCUCUACUGAAAAACAAUUAGCUGAUAUUUUCACCAAACCUCUAGACAAUCUACGGUUUGAAACACUUCGACAGUCAUUAGGUAUCUGUGCUCUAGAUUAAUUCGAUGUCUACUGAAUACCAAAGCCUAUUAUAUGCUGCAUGAUAUUUAAAUUACUUUCUGCUUUCAUAAAUCUGUCCAGCUCGUGCAAGGAUUGUUAGGUCGUAUCAAUCCUUUAGUUGUCUGAACAUAUUUGUUGAUCUUAGAUUGGGCUCUGGUACUGCACUCCAUUGAGAACAUAGCUCAUAGCUUCUCACAAAGGUUUCCACUGUCUUGGUGCUUCAUAAACUUCAUUAAAUGAUCCAUCCAUCUAUUUAAUUUUAUUUGCACACCACACUCUUUUCCUUGAAGUCCCUUGAAUAUCUCUUCUCAGGCACUAGUCUCUCUUUGGAUUACCUGAACACUACUAUGCGUAAGUUCUUGAUCUGUUUACUUAAAAAAUAAAAAUAAAAAGGUGGUGACUUCUCAUUGCUCAGUAACCGGGCCUCUUGUCUAACCAACGUCGAGGUUCGAGUCAACAGGUUGUGAUGAUUUGCUAUCCUUGCUUAUCUUUGGAGCCUUCAUGAUUCGGAUCAGUAUUUCCCCAGGGGUGCUUUAUCACCCAGUUGCUUCCGGUCAUAUGCCGUGAGCACACUGAUUGACCAUCCGUUACAUGGAUCAUGUCGAAAGCUAAAUAAAGUAAGCCACCAAAACUUUAAAAAAAAAAAAACUGAUCUGCUUAUACUUACAGUGCACUCAGUGUUUGUGUCAUCUUUGGUGGGAUUAGUCUUGGGUGGACAUAUUUUUUGUGCUUAAUUGAACGGAGUUCACUUCACAUCUUUGCUUCUUGAUGGUGGACUCAUUUGAUGGUGUUCAUUUUUCACCAUGCUUGUGGUAUGCCUCAUUGAUUAUCAGUGAGUUUGUGUGUUAAAUGUGGUCACUUGCUUUUGCCUCUGCAUACUUUGCUUCUUAUGUGUUUCAGACAGCGAUGGGUCUGCUACUACCGUCUCUUCUUGCUCACAUACUUGGCAUGUUUAUGACUGGAAAAUAAUUACAUCUUCCAGAGCGCUUUGGGUCUGCAUAACAAGUGUGUUUUAUGUCUUGGGUGUUUUGAGUCUUCUGUCCUAAGUGUGUUGCUUUUGUUCUUGUUAUGUCCUAUUCUUUAUUUUAUUUAUACAUUUAAAAAAAAAAACUGACUCUAUGACAGCCACACGGUGCGUUUUACUUUGGGUGUUUAAGCUGUGCAGUUAGGUCGACUUCCUCGGUCACAUUUGGUCUCUCUUCCACCCCAUUGCCGUCUUCCAGAGUUUUUAGCAUUUGCUACUCUGUGUUUUGCUCCGUCGCGUCCCCAUGGUCACCACACGGAGCCGUUAGUCUUCUUCCUCCGCUGCCACUACUCACCCUCCUUCUCGCUCCUUGCGCCGCCGGACUGAUGCCUCUCCUUCUUCAGUUGUCUCUCCGGCUGACACCUCAUCUC